UUCGAAGAAGGUCAAUCAAACGUCAUUAAUUAACAAAACAAGGGAAAUUAACCUUAUUUUUACACCGAUGCUACUAGGUGUGUCCCAAUAUAGAUAUAUUCACAGAUGUUGAAUAAACAUGUGAAAGGUACCUUCUUCACUUUGAGGCGACAGACCAUACCUGCAG